GACGAACGCUGGCGGCGUGCUUAACACAUGCAAGUCGAACGGAAAGGCCCUGCUUUUGUGGGGUGCUCGAGUGGCGAACGGGUGAGUAACACGUGAGUAACCUGCCCUUGACUUUGGGAUAACUUCAGGAAACUGGGGCUAAUACCGGAUAGGAGCUCCUGCUGCAUGGUGGGGGUUGGAAAGUUUCGGCGGUUGGGGAUGGACUCGCGGCUUAUCAGCUUGUUGGUGGGGUAGUGGCUUACCAAGGCUUUGACGGGUAGCCGGCCUGAGAGGGUGACCGGCCACAUUGGGCCUGAGAUACGGACCAGACUCCUACGGGAGGCAGCAGUGGGGAAUAUUGCACAAUGGGGGGAAGCCUGAUGCAGCAACGCUGCGUGCGGGAUGACGGCCUUCGGGUUGUAAACCGCUUUCGCAUGUGACGAAGCGUGAGUGACGGUAAUGGGUAAAGAAGCACCGGCUAACUACGUG
rnacentral:rRNA from 1 species